UAUUCUGCCCCAUGGGGAAGGAUGAGAAGCUUCGACUAAGGUUCGACUCGAGCGCCAGCGAGAGAACGUUGCCGCAGGCAACGGCCCGAAGGGCGAGGCGCUUUAGCGCCGAGUAAUCCUUCCCCCACCACCA
rnacentral:sRNA from 2 species